CUACGGGUGGCUCCAGUGGGGAAUAUUGCACAAUGGGCGCAAGCCUGAUGCAGCAACGCCGCGUGGAGGAUGACGCAUUUCGGUGUGUAAACUCCUUUUAUAUGUCAAGAAAAUGACGGUAGCAUAUGAAUAAGCACCGGCUAACUCCGUGCCAGCAGCCGCGGUAAUACGGAGGGUGCAAGCGUUACUCGGAAUCACUGGGCGUAAAGGACGCGUAGGCGGGUUGGAAAGUCAGGUGUGAAAUCCUACAGCUUAACUGUAGAACUGCACUUGAAACUUCUAAUCUAGAGUAUGGGAGGGGGAGAUGGAAUUAGUGGUGUAGGGGUAAAAUCCGUAGAUAUCACUAGGAAUACCUAAAGCGAAGGCGAUCUCCUGGAACAUUACUGACGCUAAGGCGUGAAAGCGUGGGGAGCAAACAGGAUUAGAUACCCCGGUAGUC
rnacentral:rRNA from 1 species